GUAAGGAAUAUUGGACAAUGGACGCAAGUCUGAUCCAGCCAUGCCGCGUGAAGGAUUAAGGUCCUCUGGAUUGUAAACUUCUUUUAUAAGGGACGAAAAAAGGCUUUUCUAAGUCGUCUGACGGUACCUUAUGAAUAAGCACCGGCUAACUCCGUGCCAGCAGCCGCGGUAAUACGGAGGGUACAAGCGUUAUCCGGAUUCACUGGGUUUAAAGGGUGCGUAGGCGGGCAGGUAAGUCAGUGGUGAAAUCCUAGAGCUUAACUCUAGAACUGCCAUUGAUACUAUCUGUCUUGAAUAUUGUGGAGGUAAGCGGAAUAUGUCAUGUAGCGGUGAAAUGCUUAGAUAUGACAUAGAACACCUAUUGCGAAGGCAGCUUACUACGCAUAUAUUGACGCUGAGGCACGAAAGCGUGGGGAUCAAACAGGAUUAGAAACCCGAGUAGUCC
rnacentral:rRNA from 1 species